AACUACUUUUUUGGAUGAACUUUUUCAGUAAAUACUUUAUUCCGUAUGCAUAAAAACUAUAGUAAGUACUUUUUUUCUUGAAGAAUUACUAGAUUUUUUCAAGGUUACAAAAUACCAACUUGUAAAUUUCAUAGCAUAUACUUCUUUUAUUUUAACACCGUAUAUGAAGCCGUGGAAAUAAUGAAUAGCAGUAUUAAGUCACAUUUUGAGGCAAUCGGUUCUUGAUAUUUAUUAUAAUAGGGUUGUUGUUAAUUUUUUUUUCCAAAUGGUAGAAUUUGUACGUAUUAAUUCCCAAAAAGUCUAUAAAUAUCGAAGUCCGGAUUUUGAAUCAAAUUUUAAACAACUUUAUCGUUUUGAAAGGGAAAAUGUGGAUUGGUUAAGUGAACUCUUUAUUGGUAAGUAAUUUCCAGUAAAAUAAAAAUACUGGUCAACAAGGUUUUUGCCACAAGUGGUAAUUCAUUACAAACAAAGAAGAAAAACUUCCUUCUUUCAAAAACUCGUUUAAUAUUUCCCAUAUCUCUUUGAUUACCCGCGAUAUCUUAAGAUAAUAUAAACCUUUAGCUCAAAGACAGCACUGGUCAACCAAAUUUAUUUGCCACAAUAACUAAAAUAUACUUUUCUGACGCGACGGUUUUUGGGGUGCUGAGGUCGAAUCCGAAACCUGAAAAAUUCUAUUAGCCUCCGUUCUUGAAAUAUUACCGUUAUAAAAUGUUUUUUUUUUUAUAACGGUAGUAUAAUAUAUUUCAAAAACGGAUGCUAAUAGAAUUUUCCUGAUUUCGGAUUCAACCUCAGCACACCAAAAACCUUCAGAAAAGUAUAUUUUGGUUAUUGUGGCAAAAAUCUUAAAAAAACUUAAACUUUAAAUAAAGUUAAGUUUGUUUUUGGCUAAUUAACUUAAACUUAAGAUAUCUCGGGCAUUAAAAACGGCCAAAAUUACAUUUUUGGUCAUUUUAUAACGGUAAUAUUUCAAAAACGGAGGCAAAUCAAUUUUUUCUGACUUCAGAUUCGAGUUCACUCAAAAAACCUUCAGAAAGAUUACUUUGGUUCUUGUAGUUCUUCGUUUAGUGUCGCCCCAGUUUCAGAUUUGUAUUCAUUAGGUAAUAAAUAUUUUUAUACCCUCCGUCUUAGCUUUUUUAAUAGAGGGUUGCUGUGACUUACUCAUAAGUACAUUAUGCACUUUUAAAAUUCGCACAAAAGCUAAGUGCAUUUGGCUUAUUGACAAACCUUUCGUAUUGCUACUCAUCUCUGCUGCUGAAUUACUUUUGACUCAAAAAAUAGCACGAACAGAUGUUCACAAACUCAAAUUUAGAAACAGUAAAUUUAUAAUGGAUUAAACCGUAAAACUUCCAAAACAAUUUAUUUGUAAACACCAAACGAAUACAAAUAAUCUUAAAAAAAAAGUAUUUACUAUCAUUUUUGGGUGAAUUACAGUAUUUACUUGGAUGAAUUCAGUAUAUACUUAAAGUAUUUGCCUGUUAGCAGGUACUUUUUUUUAUGCAUACGAAAUUAAGUAUAUACUAUGAAUUUUACCUUUUACUAGAAUUUAUAGUAUUUACUUUCACCUUUUACUUUAAGUAAGUACCUACUACGUUUUUAUGCAUAUCACCCAAUGUAAAGUAUCUGAAAUAUCAAAAUAUUUAAUUUUUUGAAAUUUUAUUUUGUAAAUUAACUAGAAAACAUAAAAAAAAACUUUUUUUUUUUUAAAUAUAGAUAAGUUAAUUCUUUGAGCCUGUUGAGCGCCCACUUACACUUCACCUAAAAAGCUGAAAUUUCACGUGUGUAAUACAAAACACAUAUGCAACCAAUUUUUGAGUGGGGAACAACGGAAUUGUAAAAACCAAAAAAUUGGACCACCCUAAUGUACAUAAAUAAGUACAUUUCGAUACCUUCUCGUUAGAAUUUAUUAAGAGACAUUUCUAAAAUUGUUCAGGAAACGAAACGAUGGCAGUAUUGUAUUUUUUGAUGGCAGUUAUGUCUGCCUUACAUAGGUGAAGGGCAUCCGCUAGUUGUUCACCUGCCCUUGUUCAUUGUAAUUAUUACGUUUCAAGGAGUCGUCUUCAGUAAAAUCGCGCAAAACCAAAAGUUUUUUUUUACUCGCAGACGGCAAGUACCUUUAUUUAUUCCGUGCCAAAAAAAAGUUCAAGAUUUUAAACAAAACCAACACAACGAUAAUGGAAAAUUAAAAAGAAAAAGUUUUCAUGCCGUCCGUUGGUUUGUAACUCUUUCUGCAUAUCAAGGCCCUAGCCUAAAUAGAUGGAUUGAUAUCCUUGGUACAAAAGAAAUUUGUUUAAUUUCCAAGACCUUUUUUAUUUCUUAGUAUCUUUUUUUGACGUAUAUUUUCUUUACCUAUAACAUUUUGGAGGCAUUGCAAUUUUUUCGAAAACGGCUCUAACGAUUUCGAUGAAAUUUAGUAUACGUAAUGGUCUUAGUCAAUAUAACAAACUUCGUUUUUAGUCUUUCGAAUAACGUUGCCUUUUUCUUUUGCAUUGUCGUUGGCUGAUUUUCCUCAAAAAAAAAAAAAAACAAACUGACGUUUUUAUCGUUGGCAAUCCUUUCCAGACCACAAAAGUUGCUUCGAUUAAAAGACUUAAACAUCUUAGGUUGGGGAAAUUCUGUAAGCCAAGUUUCCAUUAAUUGCCUCUUCGGACAAAUGCUUCCUUCUGACCAAAUUUAAAGAGUUUGGCUGGUACACCAUUUGUAUUAGCAGCUUUUAACAUUUUAAGUCUUAGAUUCUAGAAGAAGAUUGUACAGUGGAAUAUUGGUUGUCUUCGCCAUUUAGAAAUUCAAAAAAAAAAUGUUAUUUCGUUAUCCUAGUAUGCUCUGUACGUGUAUAUCUCCUGCAAUAUUCCCUUCUAUCUCAAUGUUACUUUCUUUCAAGUGAAUGUUCAAGUUCAACCCAUUACCGGUCUCAGUUUGUAUUUAUUCCUUCUUUAAUUGUUUUCGGUAGCUAAUGUUCAGUUUUUCGGGAGUUUUGGCCCAAAUCCAAAAUCAAAACUUUUUGGGUGAUAAGACCUAACGCCCCUUUUUACACUUAUAUAAAUCACAGUUAACAUAGUUUAACAUAAUUUCUGCUUUGUACCUAUUUUAAAGAAGAAUUUGUAUGAUAACAUUCUUCUUUAAAUGAUUGUGAUGUGAUGACUUUUAAUAUUAACAAACAUAGGUCUAUAAACUUGAAGUGCGUUAGAAGGCUUCUGGUCUUUUUUAUGAGACAAAAACCCACCCUAAAAGUCUACGAUAAAUGUUUCGCAUUUCUUCGUAUAGGUAUUAUCUAAACUUUGACAACUUUUAAAAACAAUUAACUGAACAUAAAUUUUAAGAUUUAAGCAAACUCCUCACCUAAUUUUACGAUUUGUUUAAGAUUUAAUUUAUUUGAUAUCUCAACCACAUGCUUGAAUCACAAAAAAAAAAUGCAAAUAAAAGGAUAAGAUUACACAAUACUUUCAAGGACAAUUAAAUAACAUGUUUUUCAAAAUUCUUGGAAUUGUAGAUUUUUUUUUUUCUUCAAAAAAUAAAAUUCUUAAAUAAAUAAAAUACAAAAAACAAGUACAUAAUAAACAAAAAAAAAAAAAUCUCAGGAAAAAAUCAACACACUGAACAAAUAAAAAACAAAUCAAAACUAACAGAAUCUUCUUCUUCAACGCUUAAAUUCCGCAAAGCAACAACAAAUUAACCCCCCAAAUACAAGCAGAAUGACUUUGAAAUCUCAAUUUUCUUAUACCCAAAAUUGAUAAGAGCUUCUGUCUUUUUAUCUUUUCAAUCGAAAAACAUAUAAAUUGCUCUUAGGGACACACAACAUCGCACAGUUUUUAUUUUAAUUUCGUCAAGACAAAACAUUGUUGAUUAAACAAAACAAAAACAAAAAAAAAUAUUUAAAAAAAUGUUUCCUCAAAGACUCUUCAAAGGCUCUAGUAAAAAUCCCUCAGGUCAAAACUAUACAAUUGCUGAUAGUAGUUAUGGCAAGGAUGCUGUAAAAAUCUUGCACGUUAAAC